rnacentral:rRNA from 1 species
UACGAAGGGUGCAAACGUUGCUCGGAAUUAUUGGGCGUAAAGCGCACGUAGGCGGCAUUGUAAGUCGGAUGUGAAAUCCCUCGGCUCAACCAAGGAAGUGCAUCCGAAACUGCAGUGCUUGAGUACUUAAGAGGAUCGCGGAAUUCCCGGUGUAGAGGUGAAAUUCGUAGAUAUCGGGAGGAACACCAGUGGCGAAGGCGGCGAUCUGGGAAGAUACUGACGCUGAGGUGCGAAAGCGUGGGGAGCAAACAGG